UGCUGGCUUCCCAGCGAAGCAGGAUGAGGGACGGAAGGAGCUCCAUUCCGUCCCUCAUCCUGCUUCGCUGGGAAGGCAGCA